rnacentral:lncRNA from 1 species
CCAUUCCGCUCAGUCUCUGCUCUGGAGGCUCGCUUAGCUCUUCCCGGAGCUAUAGACCUGUGACCUGAGAAGUGAGGGGUCGGUCUGCAGAGAGAACACUGGAAAGCCUGGAAGCCGAGAUGGCGAGUGUGCGAUGUGAAGAGCUGGGUCCAGAAGCUCUGCAGAUGGUGCGGUGGGAUCCAGGAUUGUGCAGAGAAGCUGUAUCCUGGGAGAUGUGCAGUGUGAGUUCACAUUCAACUCUGUCCCUGAAAGGUUUUGUUACAAACUAGCAUGACCUUCAUUUU